UAUUGCACAAUGGGCGCAAGCCUGAUGCAGCCAUGCCGCGUGUAUGAAGAAGGCCUUCGGGUUGUAAAGUACUUUCAGCGAGGAGGAAGGCAUUAAGGUUAAUAACCUUAGUGAUUGACGUUACUCGCAGAAGAAGCACCGGCUAACUCCGUGCCAGCAGCCGCGGUAAUACGGAGGGUGCAAGCGUUAAUCGGAAUUACUGGGCGUAAAGCGCGCGCAGGCGGUCUGUCAAGUCGGAUGUGAAAUCCCCGGGCUCAGCCUGGGAACUGCAUUCGAAACUGGCAGGCUAGAGUCUUGUAGAGGGGGGUAGAAUUCCAGGUGUAGCGGUGAAAUGCGUAGAGAUCUGGAGGAAAUACCGGUGGCGAAGGCGGCCCCCUGGACAAAGACUGACGCUCAGGUGCGAAAGCGUGGGGAGCGAACAG
rnacentral:rRNA from 1 species